AGCGAACGCUGGCGGCAGGCCUAACACAUGCAAGUCGAACGAACUCUUCGGAGUUAGUGGCGGACGGGUGAGUAACACGUGGGAACGUGCCUUUUGGUUCGGAAUAACUCAGGGAAACUUGUGCUAAUACCGAAUGUGCCCUUCGGGGGAAAGAUUUAUCGCCAUUAGAGCGGCCCGCGUCUGAUUAGCUAGUUGGUGAGGUAACGGCUCACCAAGGCGACGAUCAGUAGCUGGUCUGAGAGGAUGACCAGCCACACUGGGACUGAGACACGGCCCAGACUCCUAGGGGGGGGAGCAGUGGGGAAUUUUGGGCAAUGGGCGAAAGCCGGACCCCCCCAUGCCGGGUGAAUGAUGAAGGUUUGAGGAUUUAAAAUUCUUUCCCCGGGGACGAAAAUGAGGGUACCGGGAGAAGAAACCCCGGCUAACUUCGU
rnacentral:rRNA from 1 species